rnacentral:ncRNA from 1 species
AUGGCUAGGGGUGCCUAACGGCUGAGAUAUACCCUUUGAACUUGUAACAAGGUAAUGCUUGCGAAAGGAAGUUGAUAUACU